CAUCCCAAGGUCCAACUCCAAGUCCAUUAACCCAAACGUUAAAACCGCCCCCUCUUCUCAGUCCCUACUCCUUAUAUUAACUUAAUUUCCCGGCCACCUCAGAAAAAAGCCUAUUCAUUCUUUCUUUGUUUCUGAUUUUCGAUAGAAUUUUCAGCUCUCUCUUCCUCUGCCUACGCACCCCAAAACACUUGGCGGAGUGAAAGGGUUUUCUUCUCUCUUUCUCGUUCCUCCGAUUCUCUUCCUUCUCUUCAUGUAAAUGGUGCUGCCGGGUUUGAACGGAGAUAGAGGGACAGUUCCAGCGCCGGAGUCCAUGGCGACCAGUCCCAAGCGAUCAAACCGUCUUCAUAAUUUCAACCUUCCACACUUGAAGUGGGGAAGCCAGAAGUACCUGAGGUGCACAAACUCCGCCGGCUCUAGCCGCUCCAGCAGCGGAGAUCGCCGAUCUUCAGUUUCAAUGUCCGAUGAGUCACCGCCGAGGCGGAAGAGGGAAACGGAACAGGAGAGAAACCACUCGGUGGCAAAGAUGCCGAGGUCGCGAAUCAAUGGCAAGGGCCGCAGCGGUGCCGACGGCGUCAAGGACGGAAUUGAGGCGAUGAGGCAAAAACUGAUGUUUGAUCUGAAAACCGAGGCUGACAAGAUGAAAGACGCCAUUUUGAGGAACAAAGAGGACGACAAGAUGAAUGUGGAGGAGGAUGAAAACGAGCGGGAAUCGCCGCCUUUGUUAGCGGCGGAGGGCGCGAGGACGUGGAAUCUGAGGACAAGGCGAGCGGAGUGGAAGAUUCCAUUCUCCGACGGCGGACUUGGCGGCGGGAGCGAGAAACCGUUGAAGAUUGAUGAGAAUUCCUCUCCUGCAAGAACUGACGGCGGCACCGUUAAGUUGCUGAAGCUUCGAAGCAAUUCCAAUAAGAGCGCGCCGAGGCCGAAAUUCUCCCUUCAAUUGUCAAGGAAGGAGGUUGAAGAAGAUUUCAUAAAGAUGGUGGGCCACCGGCCGCCGCGCAGGCCGAACAAAAGGCCCAGUAGUAUCCGGAAGCAAUUGGAUGGUCUUGUUCCUGGUUCGUGGUUAACAGAGGUUACAGCAGAUUUGUACAAGGUUGCUGAAGACGCAGGGAAUGGAAAGGCGCGACAAUCUGGGAAGGGGAAGGGAAAGGGAAAGGGAAAGGACAAGAUGCUUGUUUCUUCUGACUCUGAUGAAGAAUCUUGAUUUGAAACUUGAAAGCCUAUAACAACAAUCUUGUUUUGUUGCUUUGAAAGCUAAUUUACUUUUGGCUAUGCGAUAUGCUUAUUUACUACGAUAAUUGUUUACUAUGGUCCUGCAAAACUGGUGUAAACCAAGAGCAUAUUGACCCAUUUCUAUGCAAAGAAGCUUCCAAUUACGCGCUAAACGUGGUGGGGAAGAAAGUGUCGAGAAGCAAUUUUGUUGGGUAGCUAAACUGUAGUAGCCUAGUAGGUAUUGAACCUUGUUACUGGCAAUCGGACUUUACAAGCUCGCGAAACGUGAAUUCGACUCUCCUGAGAAGAGUUCAUCUUCGAACCCAAUAUGGUCAUGCAUCACAAGUGAUUUGGUGUGAAGUCGUGACCACCAAGAAGGCAAGAACUACGAUCUGAAAUGAAUAGCUCUAGCAUUGGCAAUGGGCCGGUUAAAAAUGCCCUGAGUUCCAGCCCAGCUCCAUCAUAGGCCUCCAUUUAAGAUUGC